ACUCCUACGGGAGGCAGCAGUGGGGAAUCUUGCACAAUGGGCGAAAGCCUGAUGCGGCAACGCCGCGUGCGGGAAGAAGGCCCUAGGGUUGUAAACCGCUUUCAGUAGGGAAGAAAAUGACGGUACCUACAGAAGAAGGUGCGGCCAACUACGUGCCAGCAGCCGCGGUGACACGUAGGCACCAAGCGUUAUCCGGAUUUAUUGGGCGUAAAGAGCUCGUAGGCGGUUCGGUAAGUCGGGUGUGAAAACUCUGGGCUCAACCCAGAGAGGCCACCCGAUACUGCUGUGACUAGAGUGCGGUAGGGGAGCGGGGAAUUCCUGGUGUAGCGGUGAAAUGCGCAGAUAUCAGGAGGAACACCAGCGGCGAAGGCGCCGCUCUGGGCCGUAACUGACGCUGAGGAGCGAAAGCAUGGGUAGCAAACAGGAUUAGAUACCCUGGUAGUCCAUGCCGUAAACGUUGGGCACUAGGUGUGGGUCUCAACCAACGAGA
rnacentral:rRNA from 1 species